UACGGAGGGUGCGAGCGUUGUCCGGAAUCAUUGGGCGUAAAGGGCUCGUAGGCGGUCCGUCACGUCGGGAGUGAAAACUCAGGGCUCAACCCUGAGCGUGCUUCCGAUACGGGCGGACUAGAGGUAUGCAGGGGAGAACGGAAUUCCUGGUGUAGCGGUGGAAUGCGCAGAUAUCAGGAGGAACACCGGUGGCGAAGGCGGUUCUCUGGGCAUUACCUGACGCUGAGGAGCGAAAGCAUGGGGAGCGAACAGG
rnacentral:rRNA from 1 species